rnacentral:rRNA from 1 species
CCUACGGGCGGCUGCAGUGGGGAAUAUUGGACAAUGGGGGGAACCCUUGUCCCACCAUGGCCGGGGUGUUGAAGAAGCCCCCGGGGUGUAAAGGAACUUCCGGUAGGAAGAACGGCUUGGGGGUUAUUCCCCACAGGAAAAACAUUACUCACAGAAAAAGCAACGGCUAACUCCGUGCCAGCAGCCGCGGUAAUACGGAGGGUGCGAGCGUUAAUCGGAAUUACUGGGCGUAAAGCGCGCGUAGGUGGCUUGAUAAGCCGGUUGUGAAAGCCCCGGGCUCAACCUGGGAACGGCAUCCGGAACUGUCAAGCUAGAGUGCAGGAGAGGAAGGUAGAAUUCCCGGUGUAGCGGUGAAAUGCGUAGAGAUCGGGAGGAAUACCAGUGGCGAAGGCGGCCUUCUGGACUGACACUGACACUGAGGUGCGAAAGCGUGGGUAGCAAACAGGAUUAGAUACCCUAGUAGUC